GGAACCGGGCCGAACCAGCCCGUAAACCGUUGACAUCACCUCACUAGGACAUUUUGACCCAGGUGUCAGCGUGUGUCAGGCUUUGCAGGCUCACAGCCUCAGCUAGAGCUGAGUAGGAAGAUGUAGACAGCACCCUCCCACAGCAAGCCAAAUUAAUCCCUGAGGUUACAGCAUUUUACUAAAUAGAUUCACUGAGCAGGAUUUGAAAUUAUGUCUCAGCUCUCAUUGGGGUUGUCAGUUCCCUCACUGCAAAGUUGGCAAAGUCACCCACGUUGGAGGUGGGGGACAGCUACAAAGAAGGAUGGUUCGGAAACCUGAGUUCUCAUGCUUUUGGAGGCUCAGUUAUGGACAUGGUAUAUAUAAGUAUGGGAUUCUCAUGCUUUACAGGAAUAAAUCUACCAGGCUGAUAAGGUGCAGCAACUGACAGCAUCUAGGAAACAUCCCCAGAACACCAAAGAAAAUCUGCACUCCUGAUUUUGAGAGAGGUUGUGAUGCAUGGCCCAAAGGAAGCAUCCCUGCACCCAAGGAAUAAGCCACUGCAUUUGCUGACAGUUUACAUGGUACACAGGAGGGAACUCUGCCCUGGGCAGAUGAGGAUUGUCUUGUCCAGACAGACGACAGAAUCCGAGAAGUAGCAGGAGCUCUUUGUCAUCCUGCUGUGAUCUGUGAGGAGAAAGGUGCAGCUGUGAGAGUCCAGGCUAUGGCAGCUCUGUUACUGGAUUCUGAGCUGCUGCCAGAUGAUCUCUUGUCUCUUUUAAGUGAAGGUGUUUCCAUGGCUAUACAUGCAGUCACAGUAAAUCCAUGAACCACAGUGCUGUCAGUUCACAGGUUUUGGAAAGUUGUUCAUCAUGUCAGGUUAAUGAAAAUAUGGAACAAAUGCUCCGAAGAGAGCUGGAAAGCAACACCAAGCUCAGAUUGGCGCUACACGGACCGGUGCUCCCUUGGGAUGUGACGUAAGGAUGCGCAGGUGGUGGCCAGGAGCCCAGAGCAAGACUGGGUGAUGGGCAGAGGAAAAGCAGCUAGAUAAUACAUUUCUCUUCCUCCCUAUGACAAACUGCAAACGCCAAAGGGCGGCUGAAAUCUAACAUCUGGUGUAACUGUACAAACCUGACCUUAGGUCACGCCCAUCCGAGUAUGAGUCAUUUCCAUCGAAAGAGGAGGCUGCCUUGAUCUGUGUGCGAGCAGCAGCUGUUGGAGCAAACACAAACAUGCAUGCCAAGGAUUGUAAGGAUGGAGUUUAUCUACUAUGUAAACAACCACCUGCUUCAAAUGAAAAAUUACUCCCUCACCACCUGAAUAAGAUAAGCAUAUGAUGGGGGGAAACGAAGAGACAGAUUUAUUAUUAAUUUGCUGGAACUUUCAAACCAAACAUCUCUUUUGCAGUGGAACAGUACGAUGCACCAGGAAGCAAUGCUCCUUGCCCCAGACCUGCUCAGCAGCAUUUAUUUUGCCUAAGUGAUUUUCCCUUUUUUUUUUUCCUUAAGUCUGCUGGAGAUGAAAACACCAACCCAAAGAAGAUAAUUAAAAGCUAAAUGAAACCACAUACAGCUGUGCUACUACAUAGCUAAUGAACAUGCAAAUAUAUACAUAUGACAAGGACAUAAUGCAGACUGGCUGCCUUGAGUGCUGAGUGCAGAUUUCGAAGAGCUGGAAAUGCUAUUGAUUAUAGCUGAGCUAAACUUCCUGACUCCAGACAUCAAAGAUCAGCCUCAAUGUAAUCAUCACACAGCAUAUGGGAGCGUGGCUGUGAGGCGCUAAUGAGUGAUGGCUUGGGGACCUGAAUGUUUGCACAUAGGGUGGAAGACAUCCCAUUGGCCACCCAGCACUGAGCACCAUACAGCCCUGUCUUACUGCCUGUUGAGAUUCUGGAACUAUGGGUUUGAGCUGGGAUACUCACUUUUGCCUUCCCACAUCACUUGACAAGGUGCUGGUACAUGGCAGGCAUGUUCUUGGGUAAGAACAUGCAGUAGGUAACACAUAUAAGGCAAUGCUUCUGGGCUCUUGUGAAGCAGUAGGUAUGAGCACCUGGACAGGUUCUCCUUGGAUGGUUUUCUCCGGCACUGGUGUGAAAGAAGGUCAAAUCAGAUUUCUCUUAUUAGUCAAAAACUAACAACCAAUUUAUCAGCAUCCAUUGAUUCCUCUGAGCUCACAACCAGAAUACAGAAUGCCGUUCCCAAGGCAGUUCCCAAGGAGCUCCUUGCACAUCAGGGCCCCAGCAAAGAAGAACCUCACAGCCUACCCAGAGAUGAGAUGAGAUAUGCACAGAGCAGAGGAGACCUGGUCUUCCCCACCUUCCCCUUGUGCCCCAUUCCCCAGCCACACCACGAUGGCGAUGUUACAGAAACAGACUUGUUCUCCUCCACGAUGGCCACAGAAGCAGCACAGAGCCUGAGGGACUUUCUAGAAGCAUCACGGAGAGAUGGGGCACAGCCCUUGGGGGAAAAGAUGGCAGAGACUACGGGACAGAAACCAAACUUGUGCCGAACACAAUGCUUAGUGUAUAAAAAUUAAUCAAGUACUACAAUGACUUGCUUUAUUCAUAAUACUUAAUGGUCAUGUAAUAGGAGUUUUUAUUCUGCAGUUAAAGUUCAUAAGUGCAGGUUUUACAUGUAGAAAGGUAUUAUGCUGAUAGUUUAAUUACACACCUUUCUGCACACCAAAGGAAAUGGGUUAUGCGGGUUUUGUAAUUAAAGAAGGACUUCUGAGGGGAAAUGAACUUUGCAGUUAGCAGUGUAGUAUUUGAUUUUUAUCAGGUGUUUUUGUUUUGAGUUUGCCAGCACUCGUUGUGUGGUAAACAGGUGAGAACACCCCGAAUGGCACGAGGUGCCAGGGAGAAGCUGUGAGCAUGCAGCAGAGUAGCAGUAUUUAAGAAUAGCAUGGGUGAGCACGAGGCACCAGCGUCAUGUGUUGGAAGGUGCUCCGGAGCUCUGUCUGUGCAAUUCUAUACAGUGCAAGUCUGACCAGCAUGUCUAGGAAACAGGAGAAAAAAAAAAAAAAGGAAGCACUUAAUUAAAACUAAACCCUGGUACUCGCCAAAAUAAUUGAAAGCUCUACUUCUUAUUUUUCGUAUUUUUGUUUUCAAUAGAUAUCAUGGGCACUGAACACAGUUUUGCCUUCCUACAUCCAACAAAGGUAACAAAGCCAAAAAUAUGAUGGAUAAGAGUGCAUGUUUGCUAUUGGAGUACUCAGGGACUACUCACAGCAUUUAAGGUAAACAUGGGUAUGAGCCAUUGCUAACUUAGGGCAGCUCUUAUCUCCCGUUAAUUAAUGAUGUGCCACCUAUGGGGUGUCAGGGAAAGCAGUAGUACCAGGGCUCCUAUAGCAUAACUUCAGUUCCAUAUCAAAAAGCAUACAAAAAGCAUAUUUGGGUGUAUAUACACACAUAUUUGCAAACUACCAGGAGAAAUCCAUUUUCAAGCAAAGUAAAUGGGCUAUAGGGUCCCACAGUGGACCCAGUCAGCUCUGUGUUGAGAUCUGUGAUACAAACAGCUCUUACCAUGCUCAGCACAAAUUAAAAAGAACUAAAGAGAAUGGUCCAAAAAGAAAAUUUAAAAUCGACUUUACAAAAACAAAUAGAAAAGGACAGGGCCUGAAUGACUGUGAGAACGCCCUUUCCUUUUUGGCAAGGUGAAUGUUAUUGUUUGCCUGUGAAGAUGGAGCCCAGGUUGAGGAUGCCCAUAGCAAGCUCCUUUUGCAGUGCCUCAUCGGUCGCUCUUAGCCAGCAGUAACGUCUAAAAGUGCACAUCUCCCACACAGAGCCACUGCAAUACUCUCAACAUCCAUUUAAUUGGAAUGGACACUUGGUAAUUACAACAGGAACAGUUGUGUAAAGGGAAUAUCCAAAUAUAACUGGACAUUUUUCUUUGCAUUUCCUUCGCCAACUGUAUAAAAUUAACGACAGUGAGAGAGAACCGUAACUGUUCUUCUCUUAUUAAAUUCAUACACUUUGGCUCUACUCGUGGUUGUUAACAUAUUGUUGAAAGAGCUAUGACUUCAGCUUUCAACCCUCAUCCUGCAGUCAAGCCCUCACUGCACUGUUGUGGAUUAAAAAUUUUCAUUUGCUUAAAAAUAGAAUGUUACUUAUAAAACAACAACAACAAAUGUCAACCAAAUGCAAAGAGGUAUAAAUGUGAUUGAUCAGUGUCAAGUUCAGGUCUUCAGCCACCACAGUGUAUAGGACAAGAGCAAACGGCCUCAAACUGUGCCAGGGGAGGAUUGGGUUGAAUAUUAGGAAGAAUUUCUUCUCUGAAAGAGUGGUCAGGCACUGAAAUGGGAGGUUGAGGAGCCACUGUCCCUGGAGGUGAUAAGGCAAGGAUAGAUGUGGUGCUAAGGGACAUGGUUAGUGGGCAAUAUUGGUAGCAGGGGGGUGGUUGGACUGGAUGAUCUUAGAGCUCUUUUCCAACCUUAAUGGUUCUAUGAUUCUGUGAUUCUGUAUCAACUGGUGAGUGGGGAUCACAACGCUUUGAGGCUAGGCUGAAGUACCAUGUAGGCAACAGGCAGAAGUGGUGCAAAUACACACACACAUAUAUACAAAAUAUAUAUAGUUUGCAUUAUGCUUUUUGGGUGUAGACAAAUAGCACAUCCUUUGCAAUCAGCAGCACAAGAGAUUCCCUCAGCCCCGGGCUCACUGCUCAGGCUCCCUGGUACAAAUCCAGGGAGUGCUGUGCAGUUACAGAGAUGCUCUCUGCAGUGCGCAUUCCUGCGAUCUGCUGAGUCCUCCACCCUUGCAGAAAAUGAUACUGCUCCAAUUUUAUUUUUUAUUUUUUUAAGUCUAACGAGGGUAAUUAUAAUAGGAUUAACAGAUUUUUUUUUCCCUCCACAAAGUACAACUGUCUCAUAUCAGAGAGAGUAUUAUAGCAGACUUAUGACUAGACGAGUUUUUACUGUAUAUGGAAAUGUAUUAAAAUGAAUGUAUGGCUCAAACACACACAUCGCUCACUGUAUUGUUUUGUAGCAGCUACUUCUCCCACAAAGGGCGACCACAUGUGAAGAGUGAGAUUCCCAGUAAGUAUCUGGUAAACAUUUGGAAACGAGAGACAAAUAGCGCAGUGCAAUUGCACCAUCGUACUUCAAAUACCCACUUGAAAAAAAAAGAAAGAAUCCAUUCUGCAACGCGCCAAGCCUGGCUCCCAAAACCGGGAGGAAUCGCAACGCCGGUAAACUUGCAGAAAUAUUUUUACAAUUUUAUUAGAGGUUUUAAUUCAGUGCUUUAUCUACCUCUGUUAGUCUGCAAAAUAGCUUUAAAUAUUCAAGUGGUAAUUAAUGAAUCUUUUAUGUUGCAAAUCAAACAUUUUCAUCUGUGCUGUGGUACAGUGGCAGCGAGAAGGAGGGAUUUGGAGUGUAAUUGUUUCUCCUGUUCCCCUCGCAGUGCUGAAUGCCUUUUUACCCUUUAUUAUAUCAUCGGCUUUUGCUUCAGUUCAUCAGCGCAUUGCCACAUCUUAUCGGUCGAUAUUUGCUGUCUGGUUUGUUUUUUUUUUCUCAGUUCAAGAUUUCUUACUGUGCCUUUGCCAGAGACAUUCCUAAGGAGAUGGAAACUCUCUGAAUGUGGAAUUUUCGCAUGAGUGCAAAAUAAUAAAAAGCAUGUGUGUAUUAAAAAGGGAUCAACUUAAUGGGAAAUGAGCAUUGGGUUACAUUAAUAUUCUAUUACAGUAAAAAUCAUAUUUAAUAAAUUUUCUCCAGAUUUUUCAGAAUCUUACUGUAUUUUUCUAAGUUCUAUGCCAAUCCAAAGAAACAGUGUAUAUGAUACAUUUGAUUUAUGUUAAGUAAAUAACCUGCACAGCCCGUUUUGGGGUUUAAAAAAAAAUUAAGUGUAGAAACACACACCAGACUGCAAUGUGUGCUUAGUUUCCAUGUGCUGGGAGAAAUAGUGUUGGUCUUGUGCAGCAGAAAGACUUUAUAAACAGUAUUCUAUUUUAUUGAUGCUAUAUGUGGAGUUUUAUGUUAUGUGGCAAGAGCACGAGAAUGAAAACAUUGUAAUUUAUCCUAAACCAUAAAAUUAUACUAGUACUAAAGUAAUUACUUCACAUAUUAAAACACGGUUUCCUUUACUUUCCUUUGUCAUCGCGUAAAAUUAGGAGCUGGGCGCUGCAGUGGAGCUUUUCUCGCCUUCCCCAUCUUGCACAAAGCAUUGACACAUCUGUGAUGGCACACUAUAUCACCCGACCCUUGUUGUUCUGUGACCCUAAUUAAUAUUAUACUGGGUGACAUUUAUGUAUCAGAGCAAUAAGCUAAACAGGAAACAAUUUAUGUCACCUAAAGCUUUUUAACAAAUCGAUGCAACUAUUUGUAAUUGCUUGUUUCACAAGAUUAAAAGUACUCAGCCUUGAUCUUCGCCCACGGUUUUGUGGCCAACAUGACCUGUGCUUCCGUUGUAAAAUAGGAGUGUUGGUGAUCAGCACCUAUUUCCAUCAAGUAAUCCAUAUUGCUAAUAUUUCUGGAAUUUUAAUGUAGUUACAAUUUAUAGCCGAUCAAAUGUGGUUACCUAAAUUGCUGUUGCUAGUAGACAGUUUAACUGUCUUUAUUAAUUACAGUAUAAUUUAAUGUUUGAGUACAGGCACUUGUGUUGGUCAUUUUUACAGCCAAAGCAGUUAUGUGCCUUAUGACGAACCAUUUUAGCAUUUUCAAUGGAAAUUUGCUAAUAUGAUGAGUGAUAAAAAUGUCAAACUCUGGUAAAUAAUGGUUAUUGCUUUGGCUGGAAUUAAUCCUUGAAAGGACGGUUACCUUCAAAUUACCAUUAUUGCUUGAAGAAAAAAAAACAACAUUUUUUAGGUUUCUGAGAUGCAUCAAAAAUGGCUGCUGACGGCUUCCAAACAAAUGAAGAUGCAGUUCCAGCCACAGGGGUGGUGUUUCCAUUUCUCUUUUUCCAGAUAGAGGAAUUCCCUGUUGAGUAAGAUUUGAGGAAGGGCUGUUUUGGGUUAAACACUCCACACAAUGCUGUUGACUACUUCCAGCCCACGUGCUUUGCAGCUGCCUAAUGGAGCUGAUAAAAUGGGCAGAGAGAGGGCCUCUACCAGGUGUAAUGGAAGAUGGAGACAAAGAGUUACAGGGUGAGCAGGGACAUGUGUAUGGCACGAAGGGGAUGUCACCAGUCAUCAGUGGCAGUACUGGCCACGAAGCACCUGGCAGUUGUCACCACCACCAUCAUGGCAGUUGGGUGAAGGGCGGAGCUCACCUCCUCUGCAAGGAAUUUGAGCAAUGACCUGAUUAACUCACUAUUAAACCAAUGUUUAACAUCAUCACUGGCGCCGCAGCCUGAUCACUAGGUUAAAAGGCCUAAUUAGAGUUUGUUGUGGUGCAGGGCGCGUCUCUGUGGGAGUGAACAGCACCAACAGUUGGUUGUUCCUUCCAUCACUUCUGUGAAACCUGCUGUCCUUUGCCAUCACAGCCCAGGUCAGAGGGCAUUAUGCAGCUCAUCAGCAGCUGUACACACAAAGCACAGAGAGCACCAUGCUGUGCUGGGCCUCCAGCUCCCAUGCUAGGCCACGGCUGUCUUCUGCUCUCCUCACCAGCACAGAAGAAGCCCAGAAAAGCCAUGCACUGCCCUCUGCUUCUCUUUGGAAGUGGCCCAGAGAUGCAUCGCCUCAACGGACCACCGAAGUGCUUUUCAGCUUUGAUAGAAAACAGCAUUUGAUGCUGGGAAAGGUAUAGCCACAGAAAGUCAGCAGAUGACAGAUGCUGGGUUCAACGUGCAGUGGACACACAGUGCAGAGAUGAUGACCAGGGAAGUGAAACAGAGGAAUCAUUUGGGAUACCUUCAGAGCUCACAGGCUCCCUGGAUCCUCUCCUGGUCUGUACAAAGCCAGGGUGACUCCUAUGGGGACAAGCAGUCCUCAUCCAAGGGGCUGAGAUCCUCCCAGGCCAUGUUCCUCUACCUGGAGCUGACCCCACCACCCGUGCUUUAGAUACACAGAGCGCUCCUGCCAAAAUAAACACUCUUCUGCCAGUGACGUAGGAAUGUUUUCUUAACUGCAAAAGUGAGACCACUCCCAUGUACUAAAACUUCACUAAUGAUAGAAGAGCAAUACGUGACCUAACUCAAUUCUAUCCUAUGCAUUUUUCAUUAGCAAAAUCCACCCGUCAAUACAAUUUUGAGACACGUUGUAAUGAGUGUGCAAGAUUUUCCCCCUCCCCCCUCAAAAAAAAAAAAAAAAUAGUAGUAGCUAUCUGGUAUAAUUUUAUGAUAGAAUAUUUUUAUAAAAUCAUUUGUACUAAUUUAAGCAUUUAUCAUUAUAUGCAAAAAGAUUUCUUGAUGAGAAUAUUAUAGACGGUGCAUGUUUUUGACAUUAGCAUUUUAUUUGGAUGACUAAUCUUGCAGAUGUGAAAUUUUAAUGAAUUAUUCAUGAAAAAAUCUCUCCUCUGAAAUUCUGGUUUACUGCUAAUGCUAGUUAUUAAACAUUUUUCUUUAUAAAACUUGAUGAAGAAAAUAAAAGUGUACUUCAAAAAAAAAGAAAAAAAAGAUGGGUUUUUCCUCUCAAAGUUUGUCUCAGGUGACAGCGUAACUUGGAACGUUGUUCUCAUGGUGGUGUGGACUGAGAUCCAUCUUGCAGCCCGUUCUGUGUACAUACAGUACCUGCCAAGCCCUUUCCGCUGAAGCCAGGAGGAACAGUCCAGUCCAGCUCCCAUUAAGGAACUCCCCUUGAGACGAUUUGCAAGAUUAGGACCCAAACCCUUUUUUCUCACUUUCAGCUUUGAAGUUGAGCCCAUCAAGAAAGCAAAUACCCCCAGCUGCCCAGGAACCAAAUAGGCAAACUCUGAUGGACUUGGUUGGAUAGCAGAUGAGUUCUUCCAAGUGAGCAUCCUCCUCACAUCCAGCGCUCAAGGCCUCAACAAGCAUCCUGUCCAGCCAGGAAACUGGAGCUAAAAGCUUGCAACUCAAUGUGGCUGGGGAGGCCCAAGGAAUGCGAUGGACUGUGCGUGGAUGGGCAGGGACAGGGUGAGGGGUGAGCAACUGCUCCACAGGGUCUGCUCUGGGGUUGCUGGGGAUGCGACACAGAGCCGGGAGGGAGGAGAAACAAACAAACAAACAAAAACUUAGGACAUGGCAACUUGCAUUACCAGUGUGAACAA